rnacentral:rRNA from 2 species
GACGAACGCUGGCGGCGUGCCUAAUACAUGCAAGUCGAACGAACUCUGGUAUUGAUUGGUGCUUGCAUCAUGAUUUACAUUUGAGUGAGUGGCGAACUGGUGAGUAACACGUGGGAAACCUGCCCAGAAGCGGGGGAUAACACCUGGAGACAGAUGCUAAUACCGCAUAACAACUUGGACCGCAGGGUCCGAGUUUGAAAGAUGGCUUCGGCUAUCACUUUUGGAUGGUCCCGCGGCGUAUUAGCUAGAUGGUGGGGUAACGGCUCACCAUGGCAAUGAUACGUAGCCGACCUGAGAGGGUAAUCGGCCACAUUGGGACUGAGACACGGCCCAAACUCCUACGGGAGGCAGUAGUAGGGAAUCUUCCACAAUGGACGAAAGUCUGAUGGAGCAACGCCGCGUGAGUGAAGAAGGGUUUCGGCUCGUAAAACUCUGUUGUUGAAGAAGAACAUAUCUGAGAGUAACUGUUCAGGUAUUGACGGUAUUUAACCAGAAAGCCACGGCUAACUACGUGCCAGCAGCCGCGGUAAUACAUAGGUGGCAAGCGUUGUCCGGAUUUAUUGGGCGUAAAGCGAGCGCAGGCGGUUUUUUAAGUCUGAUGUGAAAGCCUUCGGCUCAACCGAAGAAGUGCAUCGGAAACUGGGAAACUUGAGUGCAGAAGAGGACAGUGGAACUCCAUGUGUAGCGGUGAAAUGCGUAGAUAUAUGGAAGAACACCAGUGGCGAAAGCGGCUGUCUGGUCUGUAACUGACGCUGAGGCUCGAAAGUAUGGGUAGCAAACAGGAUUAGAUACCCUGGUAGUCCAUACCGUAAACGAUGAAUGCUAAGUGUUGGAGGGUUUCCGCCCUUCAGUGCUGCAGCUAACGCAUUAAGCAUUCCGCCUGGGGAGUACGGCCGCAAGGCUGAAACUCAAAGGAAUUGACGGGGGCCCGCACAAGCGGUGGAGCAUGUGGUUUAAUUCGAAGCUACGCGAAGAACCUUACCAGGUCUUGACAUACUAUGCAAAUCUAAGAGAUUAGACGUUCCCUUCGGGGACAUGGAUACAGGUGGUGCAUGGUUGUCGUCAGCUCGUGUCGUGAGAUGUUGGGUUAAGUCCCGCAACGAGCGCAACCCUUAUUAUCAGUUGCCAGCAUUAAGUUGGGCACUCUGGUGAGACUGCCGGUGACAAACCGGAGGAAGGUGGGGAUGACGUCAAAUCAUCAUGCCCCUUAUGACCUGGGCUACACACGUGCUACAAUGGAUGGUACAACGAGUUGCGAACUCGCGAGAGUAAGCUAAUCUCUUAAAGCCAUUCUCAGUUCGGAUUGUAGGCUGCAACUCGCCUACAUGAAGUCGGAAUCGCUAGUAAUCGCGGAUCAGCAUGCCGCGGUGAAUACGUUCCCGGGCCUUGUACACACCGCCCGUCACACCAUGAGAGUUUGUAACACCCAAAGUCGGUGGGGUAACCUUUUAGGAACCAGCCGCCUAAGGUGGGACAGAUGAUUAGGGUG